rnacentral:rRNA from 1 species
AACGAACGCUGGCGGCAGGCUUAACACAUGCAAGUCGAACGCCCGUAGCAAUACGGGAGUGGCGGACGGGUGAGUAACGCGUGGGAACGUACCCUGAGGUACGGAAUAACCGAGGGAAACUUCGGCUAAUACCGUAUGAGCCCCGCAAGGGGGAAAGAUUUAUCGCCUUGGGAGCGGCCCGCGUCGGAUUAGCUAGUUGGUGGGGUAACGGCCUACCAAGGCUUCGAUCCGUAGCUGGUCUGAGAGGACGAUCAGCCACACUGGGACUGAGACACGGCCCAGACUCCUACGGGAGGCAGCAGUGGGGAAUCUUGCGCAAUGGGGGCAACCCUGACGCAGCCAUGCCGCGUGAACGAUGAAGGCCUUAGGGUUUAAAGUUCUUUUACCCGUGACGAUGAUGACGGUAACGGGGGAAUAAGCUCCGGCUAACUUCGUG